rnacentral:rRNA from 1 species
CCUACGGGUGGCAGCAGUGGGGGAUAUUGGACAAUGGGGGAAACCCUGAUCCAGCGACGCCGCGUGAGUGAAGAAGUCUUUCUGUAUGUAAAGCUCUGUCAGCAGGGAAGAAAGACAUGACGGUACCUGACCACGACGCCCCGGCUAACUACGUGCCAGCAGCCGCGGUAAUACGUAGGGGGCAAGCGUUAUCCGGAAUUACUGGGUGUAAAGGGAGCGUAGACGGUGAUGCAAGUCUGGAGUGAAAGGCGGGGGCCCAACCCCCGGACUGCUCUGGAAACUGUGGAACUUGAGUGCAGGAGAGGUAAGCGGAAUUCCUAGUGUAGCGGUGAAAUGCGUAGAUAUUAGGAGGAACACCAGUGGCGAAGGCGGCUUACUGGACUGUAACUGACGUUGAGGCUCGAAAGCGUGGGGAGCAAACAGGAUUAGAUACCCGAGUAGUC